ACGUCAGAAAGCUUCCACCUUUCCAGUUUCCUCAAAUAGUUUCUCAUUCAAAUUCAAAUUCACUAUUUCCCCAAUCCAGAUCUGGAAAACAAAUUCCAUAACCCAGAGAGAGAGCCGAUGGAAACGCCCUUGAUUCAACCGAUCUUCAUAUAUAAGUUUUUGACCGAUUAUGGUUUUUCGAUUCGUCGUCUGUAGAGAUGAAGAUCGUCUUCUUCAGGUGUUUACAACGAUCUCGGAGCUCCAGAUCUGAGCAUAAGUUUAUCACGGCCGGUGCUCGGCGGCGAGCAACAUCCGUACCCUAGGCGGUGCCGUACUGGUCGCCCGAUGUCCACCAAAGGGUUAAUAUAUCAUUGUUUUGUUUGAGGAAUAAAUUGAAAAUCACUGUUGGAAUUGGAGCAAAAAUUAGAGAUCUUGAAUUUGUUUUUCGUUCAGAAGGGAAAAUAAAGCAUAACAAUGCUUCAGCAAUUGAUCUCAAUGCUAAAGAUGAUGGUCCAUCAUGUGUUGAUGACACAACUUUAUCGCAAUCGAAGAUGAAUUGUGUAAAGUCGAGAGGUUUCACAUUUGAUCUAAACAUCGAAGAUGAUCAAGAUCAAGUGAAACCGCGCGAUUCAUUGUCGGAAUGUGGGAGUACUUGUCAUUUUGGGGGUGAGCGAGACUCGGUGAGGGUUGGAACAAAAUGAAGCGAAACGGGUUUUUAAUAAGUUGCUGGAAAUAGAAAUCAAGUAAUCUGCUUUACUUCUUCAUCAGCAUUGUUGUUGUUCAUGGUUUGAUGGUUGUUUUCCUUCGACAUCAUGUUCGUUGCUGAAGGAUUUGAAGAGCUCUUCAAGGAAAUCACCCAGCUACUAACACCGAAGAUCACCUGACAUAGCAGGAACGAUUAUUGGUUCAUUCGGUUGAUGAUCUUGUACAUAGCGUGUGCGCAUAAGAUAUGGUGGUGAAGAAGAGAACGGAUAGUGGAGGAUUUCAUGAUUUACUGGCCCCCGUGAUAACUAGAGCUCCUAGAUCCUUGCGGAGGAGGAUUCUACAUAACAAAUCAUUCAAAGAUGGUGGAAUUUGUGCUUUUGAGUUGUUGGCAAAUGUAGCCGACAAGCUAUUACUGAACUAUAAACCGAAAAACAUUGUCGAUUAUGAUGUUGGAGACGUCGAUAAUGAACUGGCGCAAGUCGAAUAUGUCGAAAGACAUCUACAAACUCCACAAACAUGUAGAGAUGGAGAAUAUGGUGUAUUUGUACGUUGAACUGGGACUGAUGCAUUACGGGAUUUUUAUUUGACCCUUUUGACCCGUUCAAGAUAACGCACAACCCGAAUGGGUCAAACGACACGUGAUGACCCGUAUGAGGUUCACCUAACUACACCAGUGGAGGGUUAUGAUCCCAUCCAAUUUAGUCUUACAAAAAUGUGCGAAUCCAAGCAAAAUGAAGCAGGAACAUCUCCGAAAGGAUGGGCUCUAUUUGGAUCAUUUCCUGCAUAUUCUGCUGCGAUGGCUUUAUUUACAAGACUCAAGUACAAAGACAAGCAAGCUAUGCUAUUUACUCUUUCAUUAAAAUGGGUUUUUUAAAAUAUGUAUAUUUUCUCAGAAUUAUUGUUUAAUAAAAGCAGCAUGGAAUUGAUGCACUGCCUGCCAUGACCAUUUUAUCUGCAUGUUUGGAGACUGUGAGUGGUGGGGGAGGUUACAUGCAGGCGGAUGAUUUUAGUUUGUUAUUUAUUUACUUAUUUUUAUUUUAGAUUAGCAUUAAUUUAUGUUACUUCAUACUUUAAAUAAACAUUUCAUAGGAACAUUUUAAAAAAUGGAGAUGUCGAACAAGUGUCAAAACAUUAUUAUUUUAAAUUAUUU